GAUUCUGGCUCGGGAUGAACGCUGGCGGCGUGCUUAACACAUGCAAGUCGAACGGAGUUAGAGAGCUUGCUCUUAAACUUAGUGGCGGACGGGUGAGUAACGCGUGGGUAACCUGCCUUUCACUGGGGGAUAACAGUUAGAAAUGACUGCUAAUACCGCAUAAGCGCACGGGAUCGCAUGAUCUAGUGUGAAAAACUCCGGUGGUGAAAGAUGGACCCGCGUCUGAUUAGCUAGUUGGUGAGGUAACGGCCCACCAAGGCGACGAUCAGUAGCCGGCCUGAGAGGGUGAACGGCCACAUUGGGACUGAGACACGGCCCAAACUCCUACGGGAGGCAGCAGUGGGGAAUAUUGCACAAUGGGGGAAACCCUGAUGCAAGCGACGCCGCGUGAGUGAAGAAGUAUUUCGGUAUGUAAAGCUCUAUCAGCAGGGAAGAAAAUGACGGUACCUGACUAAGAAGCCCCGGCUAACUACGUGCCAGCAGCUGC
rnacentral:rRNA from 1 species